rnacentral:tRNA from 1 species
GGGGCCGUAGUCUAGCUUGGUCUAGGAUUCCAGCUUGGGGUGCUGGCGACCUGAGUUCGAAUCUCAGCGGCCCCA